rnacentral:lncRNA from 1 species
GCUUAAACAGACUAGCAAAACUAAAACUAACCACUGCUUUAACCAAACCCUUACUCAGAUUGUAUAAAUACAUUCUGGAAAUAAAUAUCGGUUUGGGCGUCAGGCGUGCCCUGGUGUUUUCAGCAUGAGUCCAAGUCAACGUCGACCAUCUCAGUUUGCUUCAUCCUGAUUUCUGACGUUUAUAAACAGAUUAUUAAACUCGUUCGUGUAAUUGAAUAAACAAAACCCACCUGUUAACUAACUAUAACUAGUUAUAUUUUGUAGCUAGCUAAGUCUGUCCAUUUUUUAGCAACUGUCGUUAUCGCUAACGAUAGUUAUCAGUAUAUGUGCUGCUAUUUUAGUUACCUCCACACUUGUAAUUUAUGCAACCACUUUGUAUCCCUGGUUUUCGCUAUGCAAAAAAGUCUCACUGGUGUUUUGGCUAUAGCCUGCGAUCAAUAUUAUAUGUAACUAGCUAGCUCGAUACACCGCCUGCUAGCUAACUAAUAUUUUCAUGAAAGUGAGGGUUCUCCUGAAUUAAAUGGUAUUUUGUCAUCUAUCCCCGUGACAGUUCUUGCACUGCAGGCGAGGAAGAAAAGGACAAAGACUAAGAAACCCGGCAAAAAGCCAGACCCUGCGUCCCAGCAGAAUGACUCUCCUCUCCCAGACCAGGAUGAGGAGAUACUGGGCUCUGACGAUGAGGAGCAGGAAGACCCCAAUGACUACUGUAGAGGUAUGAUACACAGACACACACACAUACUGACUACUGUAGAGGUAUGAUACACAGACACACACACAUACUGACUACUGUAGAGGUAUAAUACACAGACACACACACAUACUGACGACUGUAGAGGUAUGAUACACACAGACACAAUACACUACUGACUACUGUAGAGGUAUGAUACACACAGACAAAAACACAUACUGACUACUGUAGAGGUAUGAUACACAGACACAAACACAUACUGACUAUGGAGAG